GCGUGCAAGCAGGAGGGGGCAGGGAUCUCUCAGUUAGGCAACGGGAAGCCUCCCUUCCCAGCUGAGGGAUCCCCAUCCCCUCCCAAUGGGAAGGGAGGCAUCACGCUGCCUGAGAGAUCCCUGCCCCCUCCUGCUUGCAUGC